UGGGGAAUAUUGCACAAUGGGCGCAAGCCUGAUGCAGCCAUGCCGCGUGUGUGAAGAAGGCCUUCGGGUUGUAAAGCACUUUCAGCGAGGAGGAAGGUGGUGAACUUAAUACGUUCAUCAAUUGACGUUACUCGCAGAAGAAGCACCGGCUAACUCCGUGCCAGCAGCCGCGGUAAUACGGAGGGUGCAAGCGUUAAUCGGAAUUACUGGGCGUAAAGCGCACGCAGGCGGUUUGUUAAGUCAGAUGUGAAAUCCCCGGGCUCAACCUGGGAACUGCAUUUGAAACUGGCAAGCUAGAGUCUCGUAGAGGGGGGUAGAAUUCCAGGUGUAGCGGUGAAAUACGUAGAGAUCUGGAGGAAUACCGGUGGCGAAGGCGGCCCCCUGGACGAAGACUGACGCUCAGGUGCGAAAGCGUGGGGAGCAAAACAGGAUUAGAUACCCUGGUAGUCCACGCUGUAAACGAUGUCGAUUUUGGAGGUUGUGCCCUUGAGGCGUGGCUUCCGGAGCUAACGCGUUAAAUCGACCGCCUGGGGAGUACGGCCGCAAGGUUAAAACUUAAAUGAAUUGACGGGGGUCAUAGCUGUUUCCUG
rnacentral:rRNA from 1 species